GUCUCCCCCCCCUCCUCCCGGCACACACAUACCCGGGAAGAAAGCUGGAGCUGUCGCUCCUCUGCCAGCCCUCGUUGUGCCUUCCCUUUGUGCGAGCCCCCGCUAGCUAAGCAUGCAGCGAAGGAGGGAGGAUGCAAAGGCGGCCCGGGGGGAAUAAGCGCUCCCGCAUGCAGCCAGGUAGGGAACGGCUCCGUCCGAGGGGGCCCGGUGGCACGGAGGCGGCUCUCACCUCCCCCCUCCCCAUGCGCUCACCUUCACGGUUUCUUCCGAGCCCUGAGAUAAAGCUACGGUUUGUCACCGUCCUCGGCAGCUAAAGAUCUCCGCACGCUCGUAGUAAUUUGCUUCCUCAGUCUGUGCAGCUCCUCAGUCAACUGAAACCACUCGUUCAAGACAGCAACAAUCCAGAUAUACUAGCAAGUCAUAAAACUGAACAAAAGCCGACAAACCUUAGAGCACCAUCGCUAUAUGGCCCAGACAAAUUACGACCGUCUAGGUAAUAUUUAAAUAGAUUCCUAAAGUAAUUGCAGGGGGUUUAGGCAACUAUUCCUGUUGUAAAAGUUCUCGAAGACAUAAAGUAGAACCUGAGGAUAAACAGUCACAAAAAGAGGUAAAAUUAAAAGGAUUCAUUCCACGUCUUUUAUUCUUCUAUGAGAACAUAAACAUCGUCUUUUUCACGCACAGCAGCAUUACAGUAUUAAUUUAUUCCGAUUUAAGGGGGAACCGUUGUGUGCUUAUCCCGUGUUACCAACGGUAACGCUAUUAAUCGACCAACAACAACAAAAAAAUCACUAAUUCCACAUCUUUAAGCAAAACUACGUUACGUAAAUAUCUACAACCAGAAAGAGAGAGAGAAAUUCAGAGCUUGAAAGAGCGAAGCGGGCCCGGGAAAGGCUGCAGGAACCGAGGAGGCUCACACAUGGCCCUCAGCGUUAGCGUGGCUCUCUUCCGCUCCCCCCGCAGCCCCGAAGCAGCUAUUAAGAGUUUAAGGACAUACUGAGAACGUCUAAAAUCGUUAAUCCGUACAGGUGCGGAUGACUACAGCCUAGGAAAAUGAUACUGGCUCUUUAAACCAUCAAGAUGUGUUUAUAGGUUCAUCAAGAGAAAUUAAAGUUGGCUGUGAGCUCCCGAAUCCUAUUCUCUCUGUUCAUUUUCUUCAGUUUCAUUCUGCGGUUCUGAAACCAG
rnacentral:lncRNA from 1 species